GGAAGGCACAGCAGCUACCAGCAGAGGGCGAGGCGAAAGCUCCCUCCGAGGCAGUCUGCUUGCUUCUCAUGCACGCUGCUCUGUCUUCCUCUUGAAUUCAGGGGGAGAGCAACUGGCCCUAUCCAUCCCCAGCACAGCAUCUCUCCAGUGACUGCUGGUGGUAUCUACCUUAUGUUUCUUUUUAAAAGCUUGGCUGAAGUUUACCCACUGCAGCCUCAUCUAGAUCCAGCAAGACUGCUCUCGGUUAUCCGUGCUCUAGUCCUGGGGUGACCAACCAGAGGCUGCUGGUCUACAACUUCCCAUGAAAAUGGAAGCUGCAGCCCAACCACCGCUGGAGAGCCUCAGGAUGGCGACCCCGACUCUGCCUGCAUUCAGGAUUAACGGGGCUGAUUUGGACUUUUUGACAUCACCUUUUGAAAGACUGUAUUGUGCGGAUCUGUGGGAUUGUAGCUGCUGUUCAAUUAUUUUUGUAAUACCGAUAUUGGGUUAAAUAUAUAAUUAAUAAGA